rnacentral:rRNA from 1 species
GAUGAACGCUGGCGGCGUGCCUAAUACAUGCAAGUCGAGCGAACGGACGAGAAGCUUGCUUCUCUGAUGUUAGCGGCGGACGGGUGAGUAACACGUGGAUAACCUACCUAUAAGACUGGGAUAACUUCGGGAAACCGGAGCUAAUACCGGAUAAUAUUUUGAACCGCAUGGUUCAAAAGUGAAAGACGGUCUUGCUGUCACUUAUAGAUGGAUCCGCGCUGCAUUAGCUAGUUGGUAAGGUAACGGCUUACCAAGGCAACGAUGCAUAGCCGACCUGAGAGGGUGAUCGGCCACACUGGAACUGAGACACGGUCCAGACUCCUACGGGAGGCAGCAGUAGGGAAUCUUCCGCAAUGGGCGAAAGCCUGACGGAGCAACGCCGCGUGAGUGAUGAAGGUCUUCGGAUCGUAAAACUCUGUUAUUAGGGAAGAACAUAUGUGUAAGUAACUGUGCACAUCUUGACGGUACCUAAUCAGAAAGCCACGGCUAACUACGUGCCAGCAGCCGCGGUAAUACGUAGGUGGCAAGCGUUAUCCGGAAUUAUUGGGCGUAAAGCGCGCGUAGGCGGUUUUUUAAGUCUGAUGUGAAAGCCCACGGCUCAACCGUGGAGGGUCAUUGGAAACUGGAAAACUUGAGUGCAGAAGAGGAAAGUGGAAUUCCAUGUGUAGCGGUGAAAUGCGCAGAGAUAUGGAGGAACACCAGUGGCGAAGGCGACUUUCUGGUCUGUAACUGACGCUGAUGUGCGAAAGCGUGGGGAUCAAACAAGAUUAGAUACCCUGGUAGUCCACGCCGUAAACGAUGAGUGCUAAGUGUUAGGGGGUUUCCGCCCCUUAGUGCUGCAGCUAACGCAUUAAGCACUCCGCCUGGGGAGUACGACCGCAAGGUUGAAACUCAAAGGAAUUGACGGGGACCCGCACAAGCGGUGGAGCAUGUGGUUUAAUUCGAAGCAACGCGAAGAACCUUACCAAAUCUUGACAUCCUUUGACAACUCUAGAGAUAGAGCCUUCCCCUUCGGGGGACAAAGUGACAGGUGGUGCAUGGUUGUCGUCAGCUCGUGUCGUGAGAUGUUGGGUUAAGUCCCGCAACGAGCGCAACCCUUAAGCUUAGUUGCCAUCAUUAAGUUGGGCACUCUAAGUUGACUGCCGGUGACAAACCGGAGGAAGGUGGGGAUGACGUCAAAUCAUCAUGCCCCUUAUGAUUUGGGCUACACACGUGCUACAAUGGACAAUACAAAGGGCAGCGAAACCGCGAGGUCAAGCAAAUCCCAUAAAGUUGUCCUCAGUUCGGAUUGUAGUCUGCAACUCGACUACAUGAAGCUGGAAUCGCUAGUAAUCGUAGAUCAGCAUGCUACGGUGAAUACGUUCCCGGGUCU